rnacentral:rRNA from 1 species
CGUGUAGGUGGGUCUCUAAGUCGGUGGUGAAAUCCUGCAGCUUAACUGUAGAAUUGCCCUCGAUACUGGAGAUCUUGAGUGCGGCAGAGGGAGAUGGAAUUCAUGGUGUAGCGGUGAAAUGUGUAGAUAUCAUGAAGAACACCAGUCGCGAAGGCGGUCUCCUGGUCCGAUACUGACACUGAGGCGCGAAAGCGUGGGGAGCAAACA